CGUUGAAACACCGGUUACCGUACGAUCACCGAAGUUAAGCAACGUCGAGCCUCGUCAUUUCCACGAUGGGUGACCGCUUAGAAAUAUCAGGUAUUGUA